rnacentral:rRNA from 1 species
UUAAGCGACUAAGCGUACACGGUGGAUGCCCUGGCAGUCAGAGGCGAUGAAGGACGUGCUAAUCUGCGAUAAGCGUCGGUAAGGUGAUAUGAACCGUUAUAACCGGCGAUUUCCGAAUGGGGAAACCCAGUGUGAUUCGUCACACUAUCAUUAACUGAAUCCAUAGGUUAAUGAGGCGAACCGGGGGAACUGAAACAUCUAAGUACCCCGAGGAAAAGAAAUCAACCGAGAUUCCCCCAGUAGCGGCGAGCGAACGGGGAGCAGCCCAGAGCCUGAAUCAGUGUGUGUGUUAGUGGAAGCGUCUGGAAAGGCGCGCGAUACAGGGUGACAGCCCCGUACACAAAAAUGCACAUACUGUGAGCUCGAUGAGUAGGGCGGGACACGUGGUAUCCUGUCUGAAUAUGGGGGGACCAUCCUCCAAGGCUAAAUACUCCUGACUGACCGAUAGUGAACCAGUACCGUGAGGGAAAGGCGAAAAGAACCCCGGCGAGGGGAGUGAAAAAGAACCUGAAACCGUGUACGUACAAGCAGUGGGAGCACAGAGCAAUCUGUGUGACUGCGUACCUUUUGUAUAAUGGGUCAGCGACUUAUAUUCUGUAGCAAGGUUAACCGAAUAGGGGAGCCGAAGGGAAACCGAGUCUUAACUGGGCGUUAAGUUGCAGGGUAUAGACCCGAAACCCGGUGAUCUAGCCAUGGGCAGGUUGAAGGUUGGGUAACACUAACUGGAGGACCGAACCGACUAAUGUUGAAAAAUUAGCGGAUGACUUGUGGCUGGGGGUGAAAGGCCAAUCAAACCGGGAGAUAGCUGGUUCUCCCCGAAAGCUAUUUAGGUAGCGCCUCGUGAAUUCAUCUCCGGGGGUAGAGCACUGUUUCGGCAAGGGGGUCAUCCCGACUUACCAACCCGAUGCAAACUGCGAAUACCGGAGAAUGUUAUCACGGGAGACACACGGCGGGUGCUAACGUCCGUCGUGAAGAGGGAAACAACCCAGACCGCCAGCUAAGGUCCCAAAGUCAUGGUUAAGUGGGAAACGAUGUGGGAAGGCCCAGACAGCCAGGAUGUUGGCUUAGAAGCAGCCAUCAUUUAAAGAAAGCGUAAUAGCUCACUGGUCGAGUCGGCCUGCGCGGAAGAUGUAACGGGGCUAAACCAUGCACCGAAGCUGCGGCAGCGACGCUUAUGCGUUGUUGGGUAGGGGAGCGUUCUGUAAGCCUGCGAAGGUGUGCUGUGAGGCAUGCUGGAGGUAUCAGAAGUGCGAAUGCUGACAUAAGUAACGAUAAAGCGGGUGAAAAGCCCGCUCGCCGGAAGACCAAGGGUUCCUGUCCAACGUUAAUCGGGGCAGGGUGAGUCGACCCCUAAGGCGAGGCCGAAAGGCGUAGUCGAUGGGAAACAGGUUAAUAUUCCUGUACUUGGUGUUACUGCGAAGGGGGGACGGAGAAGGCUAUGUUGGCCGGGCGACGGUUGUCCCGGUUUAAGCGUGUAGGCUGGUUUUCCAGGCAAAUCCGGAAAAUCAAGGCUGAGGCGUGAUGACGAGGCACUACGGUGCUGAAGCAACAAAUGCCCUGCUUCCAGGAAAAGCCUCUAAGCAUCAGGUAACAUCAAAUCGUACCCCAAACCGACACAGGUGGUCAGGUAGAGAAUACCAAGGCGCUUGAGAGAACUCGGGUGAAGGAACUAGGCAAAAUGGUGCCGUAACUUCGGGAGAAGGCACGCUGAUAUGUAGGUGAAGUCCCUCGCGGAUGGAGCUGAAAUCAGUCGAAGAUACCAGCUGGCUGCAACUGUUUAUUAAAAACACAGCACUGUGCAAACACGAAAGUGGACGUAUACGGUGUGACGCCUGCCCGGUGCCGGAAGGUUAAUUGAUGGGGUCAGCGCAAGCGAAGCUCUUGAUCGAAGCCCCGGUAAACGGCGGCCGUAACUAUAACGGUCCUAAGGUAGCGAAAUUCCUUGUCGGGUAAGUUCCGACCUGCACGAAUGGCGUAAUGAUGGCCAGGCUGUCUCCACCCGAGACUCAGUGAAAUUGAACUCGCUGUGAAGAUGCAGUGUACCCGCGGCAAGACGGAAAGACCCCGUGAACCUUUACUAUAGCUUGACACUGAACAUUGAGCCUUGAUGUGUAGGAUAGGUGGGAGGCUUUGAAGUGUGGACGCCAGUCUGCAUGGAGCCGACCUUGAAAUACCACCCUUUAAUGUUUGAUGUUCUAACGUUGACCCGUGAUCCGGGUUGCGGACAGUGUCUGGUGGGUAGUUUGACUGGGGCGGUCUCCUCCUAAAGAGUAACGGAGGAGCACGAAGGUUGGCUAAUCCUGGUCGGACAUCAGGAGGUUAGUGCAAUGGCAUAAGCCAGCUUGACUGCGAGCGUGACGGCGCGAGCAGGUGCGAAAGCAGGUCAUAGUGAUCCGGUGGUUCUGAAUGGAAGGGCCAUCGCUCAACGGAUAAAAGGUACUCCGGGGAUAACAGGCUGAUACCGCCCAAGAGUUCAUAUCGACGGCGGUGUUUGGCACCUCGAUGUCGGCUCAUCACAUCCUGGGGCUGAAGUAGGUCCCAAGGGUAUGGCUGUUCGCCAUUUAAAGUGGUACGCGAGCUGGGUUUAGAACGUCGUGAGACAGUUCGGUCCCUAUCUGCCGUGGGCGCUGGAGAACUGAGGGGGGCUGCUCCUAGUACGAGAGGACCGGAGUGGACGCAUCACUGGUGUUCGGGUUGUCAUGCCAAUGGCACUGCCCGGUAGCUAAAUGCGGAAGAGAUAAGUGCUGAAAGCAUCUAAGCACGAAACUUGCCCCGAGAUGAGUUCUCCCUGACUCCUUGAGAGUCCUGAAGGAACGUUGAAGACGACGACGUUGAUAGGCCGGGUGUGUAAGCGCAGCGAUGCGUUGAGCUAACCGGUACUAAUGAACCGUGAGGCUUAACCUU